rnacentral:lncRNA from 1 species
GCUCCACAAGCCCAGCUCCCUCAGCCUCUCUUCCCAGCAGAGCUCCUGCAGCCUCUGGGCAUCCUCGCGGCCUCCCCACGUCCUUCUGGGGCUGGGGCCCUUCCUCUCCUCACUCCUGCAUUCAGCCCCUCUCUGCAGCACUCUUUGCUUUCCUCCUUUCCAGAUAAGGCAAGGAAACUGUGCAAAGACACAUCCGUGGAAUUCAUCGAGGCUUAUGUCCGCGGCACAGAAAAGGACAAGGAGGCGCAGAAGAUGCUGUUCCUCAGCAAAAUCUGCGCUCUGUGCAGAACUGUUUCGGAGAAGGGCUUGACGCUGGACUUGCAUGCCUUCUGCCGCAAAAAUAAGCUGGUGGAGAACAUCAUGGCGCUGCUGGAAAAGGAGCCCAUGGACAGCUUGCGCACAGAAUUUCGGCAGAAGGCCAUGGAGACCAUCGCCGUCCUCAGCAACACCGUGCCGAGAGCACUGCACGGCAAAAAGGAGAGUCUCCGGAACGCGUGCUACAGGAGCGUCUUCUUUCUGCCUCCGGAGUCGGAUGUGCCAGAGACAGAAAGAGCGCUCUACACCAAGACUAUGAAUGCCAUGGACCCCAUGCUGGCGGCCUUCGUACGCAACUGUCCCACCGCCAGCAUCAGCGCAGAGUUGCAGAAUAUCUUGGAGGUUUGGCAUUUGCAAAGAAUU